rnacentral:rRNA from 1 species
UACGUAGGUGGCAAGCGUUGUCCGGAAUUAUUGGGCGUAAAGCGCGCGCAGGCGGUUUCUUAAGUCUGAUGUGAAAGCCCACGGCUCAACCGUGGAGGGUCAUUGGAAGCUGGGGAACUUGAGUGCAGAAGAGAAGAGCGGAAUUCCACGUGUAGCGGUGAAAUGCGUAGAGAUGUGGAGGAACACCAGUGGCGAAGGCGGCUCUUUGGUCUGUAACUGACGCUGAGGCGCGAAAGCGUGGGGAGCAAACAGG